AGCGAACGCUGGCGGCAGGCCUAACACAUGCAAGUCGAGCGGAUGAGAGGAGCUUGCUUCCUGAUUCAGCGGCGGACGGGUGAGUAAUGCCUAGGAAUCUGCCUGGUAGUGGGGGACAACGUUUCGAAAGGAACGCUAAUACCGCAUACGUCCUACGGGAGAAAGCAGGGGACCUUCGGGCCUUGCGCUAUCAGAUGAGCCUAGGUCGGAUUAGCUAGUUGGUGAGGUAAUGGCUCACCAAGGCGACGAUCCGUAACUGGUCUGAGAGGAUGAUCAGUCACACGGGAACUGAGACACGGUCCAGACUCCUACGGGAGGCAGCAGUGGGGAAUAUUGGACAAUGGGCGAAAGCCUGAUCCAGCCAUGCCGCGUGUGUGAAGAAGGUCUUCGGAUUGUAAAGCACUUUAAGUUGGGAGGAAGGGUUGUACGUUAAUACCGUGCAAUUUUGACGUUACCGACAGAGUAAGCACCGGCUAACUCUGUGCCAGCCGCCGCCGUAAGAC
rnacentral:rRNA from 1 species